rnacentral:rRNA from 1 species
GACGAACGCUGGCGGCGUGCUUAACACAUGCAAGUCGAACGGAAAGGCCCUGCUUUUGUGGGGUGCUCGAGUGGCGAACGGGUGAGUAACACGUGAGUAACCUGCCCUUGACUUUGGGAUAACUUCAGGAAACUGGGGCUAAUACCGGCUAGGAGCUCCUGCUGCAUGGUGGGGGUUGGAAAGUUUCGGCGGUUGGGGAUGGACUCGCGGCUUAUCAGCUUGUUGGUGGGGUAGUGGCUUACCAAGGCUUUGACGGGUAGCCGGCCUGAGAGGGUGACCGGCCACAUUGGGACUGAGAUACGGCCCAGACUCCUACGGGAGACAGCAGUGGGGAAUAUUGCACAAUGGGCGGAAGCCUGAUGCAGCAACGCCGCGUGCGGGAUGACGGCCUUCGGGUUGUAAACCGCUUUCGCCUGUGACGAAGCGUGAGUGACGGUAAUGGGUAAAGAAGCACCGGCUAACUACGUG